UAUGUGCUCCCUCCGAUCCAUAUUACUUUUUGCUCAAAUGAAUGUAUCUAGACGUAUUUUAGUGCUAGAUACAUCCGUUUGAGCGACAAGUAAUAUGGAUCGGAGGGAGUAGCUU
rfam:Triticum aestivum genome assembly, contig: Triticum_aestivum_CS42_TGACv1_scaffold_098045_2AL